CUUUACUUUAACUUCAGGCUGAAUCUCCACCUGGAGCGCGGAGGCUCGCCAGGUCUACUUACUUGCCCUGGCUGUUAAGACCCGCGAGAAAGGGAGCUUAAGGCGAGGCACCCUUAGAUAUUCAAGCGGGCGCCGGUGGCCCAACAUAGAUGGUGCAAAUUCCUUGUCUGGAAUUUUAUUGGCCUUCCGCGUAAACCAAGCUUUUCAGCCCUCUUCCUCCACUUAAUCUUCUUACUACACUAUAGUUUCUUAAUCUAAUCUUUCAUUAAUAAAUAAACAAGUCUUUCCACGCCGAUGCCGUCCACCCUUCGAAUUCCCUGGAUCUGCCGGGGCUGGACCCCGGCACUUUCCCAAGUUCCAAGAUCAAUAUUAAUUACUGCUGUGCCACGUAAUUAUAAAAGUGCCAUUUAAUGUUUCACACCAAGAACAUGGGUAGGGAGAAAAAAGAAAUUGGAUUAGAUCUGUGGUUUCUACAUUUGUAAUUACCAUCAGGUCCUCUUUGGAACAUUGAAGUUAGGAUAGAUGAUUAUUGUUACUGUAUUAAUGUCCAUAGAGGUAUUGCCAUUAGGGGGAUAUUCAUUCUGGUUUGCUUGGGGUGAAUCUGGGGCAUCCUGGUCUAUACUUGUUUUCCAAUUCAUGGACACACUUACCAACUUGAUAGAUUUUGAAUGUCACCUUUAAAAAUUGAUUUUUUAAACCCAUGGUAUGAACUGAUUUUUAUCUGAAAGGUUUUGCUAAUUAAUUUUACGUGUUCAUAAUAAAUGCUUUGCAUGCACAUGUGCUAAAUUGCUUCAGUCAGUCUUGACUUUUUGCAGUCCUAUAGACUGUAGUCUGCCAGGCUCCUCUGUCCAUGGGAUUCUCCAGGCAAGAAUACUGGAGUGGGAUGCCAUGCCCUCCUCCAUGGGAUUGUGGCAUUCAGAAAUUACUACUCUGAUAACUGGCAUGUUAGAGCUUUACUACCUAAUCUAUUUAUGAGACUAAAUCCCCAAAGAUAACUUUGUCAUCUGCCUUGUUUUCAUGAAGUCAUGGUGAAGAAUGUGCAGCUGUGUGAUCGUGAGACAUGUCCCAGGCUUGUCUUCUGGUAGAAAUAAUUAUUAAUCUCAGAAUGAAGAACCCUUUUCUCGAGUUGUUUUGUCCUUUGCUCAAAAUCAUCCUUUCAUUGCCUUUGACUAUAUCCUUUUUCUUCCUUAACAUUCAGAACCUUUUAUUUUCUCCAUCAGAAAUAUUAUGUGUGAUUUUAGCUUCCUUUUCAGCUUCAUGCUCCCUUUUUUUCCAGAAAACUUGACUUCCACAAAGCUCUUUCAUGGAUGUAGGGAUGUCCCUCCCUCUAU
ensembl:lncRNA